GCUGCUCCUCCCUCUUCACAGCAUUCCCUGUGCUCCCCUCCUUCCCAGCCCCUGCUCCGACCCCCUGUGCCUGGGGCAGGGCUGUGCCCAGUGCCAGGCCCUGAGCUGUCCCCACAGGGCCUGGAUGCCCCCUCAGCCCCGGCACUCUCUUGCAAGGUUAAACAAGUGGAGGAUUUCUCCUGGGAAAACGCAGCUGCUGCAUCCAAACCUGCCACACCGAGCGCUGGCCCUGGAUCCCCCCAGAGCGUGCCCGGCUGCAGAUGGGAGAGGCUGGAUGGAGCCUGUGUCUGUGUGGCUGGCUUCGGCUCGGGGCACUGGGAUGGCUGAGGAUCCACACGUGAGGGAGUCAUGGAUCUGCCCUCAGGGGGCUGCAGAAGCUGGGAUCUGUGUGUGGAUGGAGAACCAGGACCUGCCAGGGUCCAGGAGAGCCAGGAGCAGGAGCAGAGCAGUGACUGGGAUGGGAUGGAGAGCACGGGGAAGGAUUUAGGGCUUUCCUUGAAGGCCCCAGGUUUGGAGCACCCAGGAUGCAGCUCAGGAUGAGUGCUCAGAGACAGGGCCAGGCCAAGGUGGCCUCAGUUAUCCGUUCCCUGAGGAUGCACAUCGUCCUUGGGCACCCCCCUGCUGUGUUUGGGUAGAAAUAACUGAAUUUUGGGGCUUUCCCUGGAUUUGUGGGUGGUUUUUGUUGGAGUUUUUCCAGGGUGAAGGAGGUGCCACUGGAAUGUGGUGUCACCAUGCAGGCAAUGAGCUGUGAGUGGGCAGAGCAGCCUCCCCGAUGGUUCCUCCAGAUCAGAUCUGUGCAGGGAAACUGAGGAAUGAUUCAAGCCAGUUGACUCCAGAGGUGUUUCCCAAAGGCCUCAUGAAGUCCUGGGACCACUUUCAGCUCUGCCUCAUUCAUAGGAUCAUAGAACAUGGAAUGGUUUGGAAGAGACCUUAAAAAUCAGUUUGUUUUACCCCUGCCACGGCAGGGACACCUCCCACUGUCCCAGGCUGCUCCAAGCCCCAGUGUCCAACCUGGCCUUGGGCACUGCCAGGGAUCCAGGGGCAGCCACAGCUGCUCUGGGCACCCUGUGCCAGGGCCUGCCCACCCUCCCAGGGAGGAAUUCCUUCCCCAUAUCCCACAUGUGGCAGUACCAGAGGAACAGAAAUCUCUGCCCUGUGCUUGCAGGGUAACACCACAGUGGGUUGUGGGGGAUUCCUCGAUGUUAUUACAACACUGAUUAAUCACUGGCCCUGGCAGUUUUCCCAUGGGAUCCUUCCCGUGCUUCCCAGAAAGCCAAAGUGAGUCUCACGGGUCUGCAGAGCAUCCCUGCAGUGCUGGAGCCGUGACAAGGCUGCUGCACAGAGGGAACUGAGGCAGGCUUGGACGUCCAACCCCUUCUAAAACCUCCUUUUUAAAGGCUUUGGGAAGGAGUGUUCCUUCUCUGGAGUCAAUCUUUGCAAUUUGGGGCUGUUUCGGGAGCGCAGGUGGGACUCAGCUGUGUCCACAAUGAGGUCAGAGUGGAGAGAUGGGCUCGGGAGCCGAGAGAUCCGAGAGAGGAGUUUUCCAAAGCUGCCUUUCCCCAGGAAUGUGAGUGCUGGGAUGUGAUUGGCACCUGCUGGGCUGAUGGGCAGGCACAGUUCCCUCUCGUGGCUCCCAUUCCCUCUAAUCCCAUUAGAGCUGCGCGCACUAAGCCCCGAGCCCCGCCUGCCCCGGGGAGCGGCUGGGCAGGGACCGGGGCGGG